rnacentral:rRNA from 1 species
AUGCAGCAGCGGCAUCGGGAAGCGCGGGACUGCAGGCCAGCGUGCACGCGGGGCGAGGGGAGCAGGGCGCGGGGGCUACGGGCGGCUACGGCGACAGAUCGACGACGGUUAGCGGCGGCGUUCAACGGAUAUGUGUCUACGAGGCACAUGAACGAGCAAGAGAAGGGCAAGGAAGGCGAGGAGCUCACAGAGAGUGCGAGGUCGAGGUCGAGGAGGCUGGAAGAGGUCGAACGGCGACGAAUCGAUGGCGAGGUGCCGCGGCCGUGCGCGGAGAGGACUUCUCUAUGGCGGCGAUGCGGCGCCCCCCCGCUUGAGCUGCUGCUUGGAAUGGACGAGGAUGAGGCGGGCGAAGCUCCUCGACGUCUUCACGUGGCUCGGGAGGACCGGUGA